rnacentral:rRNA from 1 species
UACGUAGGGUGCGAGCGUUGUCCGGAAUUAUUGGGCGUAAAGGGCUCGUAGGCGGUUUGUCGCGUCGGGAGUGAAAAUCCAGGGCUUAACUCUGGACUGGGCUUCCGAUACGGGCAGACGUAGAGGUAUGCAGGGGAGAACGGAAUUCCUGGUGUAGCGGUGAAAUGCGCAGAUAUCAGGAAGAACACCCGUGGCGAAAGCGGCUCUCUGGAACGGUACUGACGCUGAGACGCGAAAGCGUGGGGAGCGAACAGG